GGGAAUACCAGGGGUGGGCACUGUCAAGAGACCCAGCUUUGACUUCAAAUGCCACCCAGAGGAACAACUGCUCACUUUCAGAGCAGGAGCAGGAGGCCAGCGGAGAGUGUGAGUCUAACAUCUGCACAGUGAGAAGUCCAGGAGAAGCAAAAAUGAGAUCCAGGCUGGAGCGGCUGUGCCAGAGGGCCCCUAUGAUCCAGACCUCAAGAGAGGGUUCCUGGACCUCCCACAGAAAGGGAUUCAAGACCAGCUGAAACUGAUUAGAGCCAAGAUAGCCAACCAAAUGACUUCAAGAAGACCUCAGGCUUCAUUAUCAUCUCAUUUCCAUGCUAAAAAAACCCCAGCUCCCCAGAACAAUGGGAAAUAUUGGGCACUUCAUCAGGCGAGUUCAGGUGCAUUUCUAGAGAUUGUCCAGGUGCUGGUAACAAUAAUAGAGAACCAUCCAUAUCCACAAGAGGCAGAACCUCUUCCAGCAAAAUGGUGCUGCCUCACCCAAAGGUCACACUGGCGUUAGCCCCUCAUCCUCUGGAGUUCAUCUCAUCCAGGUGAAGAUAGCUGGCUGGCCUCAGAGGGUGAGACGCAACUCGAGGGUAAAAACAUUUUUACAGGGCAUGGACACAAAAGUGGCCUUUACCUCUGGAUAAGCUUUUAAAACUUCCCAUUUACACGUAAAGGUGUACUUUCUAUGUGCCACCAAGAAACCUAAAGUGAGUAAAAGGUGUUUCACUUUAAUCAAGUUCCCC
rnacentral:lncRNA from 1 species